AGGUGAGGAAAGGGACACGAGGUGGCAGCGCUGAGCCUCUUCUUCUCGACGUGGGAAAACGUGGCGCUGACAAACCCGGGAUUUUAUUUUUCCGUGCUUUUGCUCAGCAGCACCCAGCUGUACGUUUCUAACUGAAAGUCAGUGGGUUUCCACAAAAGAGCUCUCAGAGUGGCAAUACCCGCACUUUCACCUGUGCGCGGCUUAAGCACUUGGCAACUGAUCAAGAAUCUCCUUAAACUGAUGGGAAAUUAAGGCCAUCACUAAUAAUAAUGCAAUUAUGAUACGUAUAGCCGAGAACUGGAAUCUACAGUUUGCUUUGCACAUAAAGCAAGAGGAGUGUUUCCAAGACAUUUUCAGAAAGAAGGAGCCUAGAUACAUUUUCUGCAGUACUGAGAACUACAGGCAUUGAUUCAAGGGGUGUGUGUGUGUUUGUGUGUGUGUGUGUGUACCAGACUGUAGUCUCCAUCGGUUAAAAUGUCUUAAGACCACUCUGAUUUAGCAGUGCAGGAGAUUUCUCCUCCUUUUUAAGGAGAGGAUUACUAGUGGCCAGGCUUAUUUAACCGCAACGGCUGUAGCCGACCUCCUUCCACACCCCCAGCCCUGUCGACUGUGAGCAGCGAUCCGGGACCGAGCCAGCCCGAGCCUCCCCCCACGCCGCCCAUGCCGCUGCACCAGCACCCCCUCUCUUGGAGGCACAGCGCAGAAACCCCAACCGCGCUCGGCGCUGGGCGGGCGCGGAGCCGCAGCAGAGGCGCCAGGUUAUUCAUGGAUGAUGAUCCACCGGAUCCAGCCCUUUGCAAACAAAAUUCCUUCACCAGCCUCCAGACAGCUUGGGUUGUCCAUGUACUGUAAGACAGGAUGGACAGAGGUAUAGAUGCUUUGGAAUAUACAGCUGGCCUUAGACUCACCAGAAGAAGAAAAGUGCCACUAAGCCAGAGGCAGUGUUACCACAUCAGCUUGCUGGAGGCAUUCCCCAGAGCCCCCAGUGCUCUGUCGCCGAAGAAACACUGUUUUCUGGUCAAAACAAAAUGGACAAAUACAAUGGUCUGGCUUUCUUCAUGGUUUCCUUCCAUAUAAUUGCUCUUAAUGAUGGUGGUGGCGGUACAAUUACUGAAUACACGUACUGGAGGCUGAGACCUGCACUUCUCCUGCCCGGCUUUGGUUGCUGCUGUCCUGCCACCCUCACCUCUGUGCAUAAAUCAGUAUUUGUGCAGCUGCGUAAUAGACUGCACUGGGGAAAUGAUCACUGAAUGGACACCAAACAGGCAAACAACUUUUGUUUCCUGAUUCGCUUUGCUGCAUGGUUAUGCAAACGCUGAUGUGGAAUGACAAGAGAGAGGAAAGGGGACAGGACACGGGGUGUGACUGCUCCAUGUUUUGGCAGUAAUGCCAACAGGUGGGCUCCAACAGUUGGGGGAAGUACAGCGUGAGCUAUCUGCCAGGGAUGCAGAACACCUCCUCACACCUUGCCCACGCCUGCUGCGGGAGUGGUGUGGUUCCCAGGGUAAACAUUUUGCAUGAAGUGGAAGUAAGCGAGAUACAACACCAAAUGUAUCUUUUAAAUCUUGUACGUCUUUUGACUUACCCUUGGAGUGUAAGACAUGCUCAUCCUUGGUUUGUAAGGCUUUGUCAGGAAACAGCUCUGCGGUGCUACAGCAUAUCACUAAUACAAGCACAAGCAUGUAAUACAAACACUGUAGGGCAAAAUUUUGUGUAUGAUAUUCCCUUCCAUGUAUUUAUAUAAGGAAAAAAAGAUUUUCAUUAGCAAACACAAGUGGUGAGACCACUGGGGAAAAUAACAAUAUUUAGAUUAUAGAGCUAAAAGACGAAAAAAUGUCAAAUUCACAUAUAAAUAGACAGAGGAGACACUUGCUUUAUGGCACAGAUCCACAGUGCAGAUGGUGGCAUAAUGUAGAAACACCUGAGCUAGCUGCAGAUGAGCUAGCAUAGGUACCAGAAGCAAUAGCAGGUGUCAUGGUUUUAGUCCUUGAUUUGUUUGUCUCAUUGGCUCUGACUCCAGGGUGGUUCCAGUUCUCUGAGGUAUUUCUGUAGCAGCUGGGAACAAAAUUGCAGUGUGGAUAUGUACUGCCCUAUUCCUGACCUUGCAGCCCACCUUUCAGUUAUGGACCCUCUGCUUACAGCUCCCCUCUUUGGAGGAGCUCUCAGCAAGGCAGGCAGCAGGGGAUGCUCAGCUCCUUUGCAUAGCUUCACCAGCCCAGAACUUUUCAUGUCUUGAAUUUUCUGCUUGCCUGCUCACAGUCUCCAUGUUGCUCUAAUGUAACUUUUGCACUAAUUUCUUUUUAAUCAGACAAAGGAAAUUGAAAUAAAAUUCACUCAGCACAUAAUUUGCUUUUGGUCCAAUCUUGCAAAAAUUUACUUAUGGGAAGUUCAUUGAUUUCAUCUGCAGAAUCACAUGUAGCAAGUGAAUGGGUAUAUUGCCCACUGACUCAUGAAGAUAAAAAUCAUCCACUGUUUAAACUUUGCCUAGUAAUCUAUUUUUGUUGUUUUUUUUUCCAUUUUCUUAUCCCAAAAAUAAAAUAUCAUCUUUACUGCUAUAAAUGGAAGAAGCUGUGCUGUUCAUAUGCAGAUAUAUGCUGAUAUAUUUUGUAAACUUAUACACUUCAUAUGUAUGUUCAGUAGCUGAUUUUUCAAAAUGUGUCCUACUGUAUAUCCUGAGGUGGAUGGUAGAAUGAGAAGGUCUUAAUGCUGCUUCUCGGAAAAAAUAAUGCCAAAAUUAUUGCAAAUUAGGGGAGCAGAACUGAUGUCUAAUUGCUGUUUGGAUUGUUCACCAAUUUCUAAGCAAAUAUAGCCAUGAAAGUAUUUAUGACAUACAGCUAGCUCCCAGACAUGGUGCGUGUUCAGCUCAGACAUUUGUUUAAAUUUACAAUUUUUUUUUGCCUGUAAUUGUUCUUGUCUUGGAACAUAGGGCAAUAGCACUAUAUUAAGCAUAUAUUGACAUCAGUAGUGAAAUUCAUUAUUUAAUGAGGACUGUAGCAUUGCAUACAUAUUUAAACUGUGGCUGCAUAUGAAAUGCAAAUACUCAAAUGAGACACUUGCAUAACUGAAUGCUACUGUUAUUUUGUAACAACAAUGGAUUAUAAUACACAGCUAUAUUUUCGGCAAGAUGGUACAACACUUUUCCAAAUUUAUUUAAUACAGUACUGUAUAGUAUUUAGUUGAAAUAAAAAAAAAUCCAAUGACUAUA